rnacentral:tRNA from 1 species
ACCCAGCUGGCUCAGCCGGUAGAGCAUAUGACUCUUGAUCUCAGGGUUGGGAGCUCAAGCCCCAUGUUGGGUA